AACGAACGCUGGCGGCAGGCCUAACACAUGCAAGUCGAGCGAGGACUUCGGUCCUAGCGGCGGACGGGUGUGUAACGCGAGGGAAUGUGCCCUGCUCUACGGAAUAGCCCUGGGAAACGGGGAGUAAUACCGUAUAUGCACUAGUGGGGUAAGAUUUAUCGGAGAAGGAUCAGCCCGCGUUGUAUUAGGAAGGUGGUGAGGUAAUGGCCUACAAAGCCGACGAUGCAUAGCUGGCUAGGGAGGAUGAUCACCCACACUGAGACUGAGACACGGCCGAGACUCCUGGGGGAGGCAGCAAUGGGGAAUCUUAGACAGUGGGGGCGACCCUGAUGUUGCCAGGCCGCGUAAGUGAUGUAGGCCUUAAGGAUGUAAAGCACUUUCAGCUGGGAAGAUAAUGACGGUACCAGCAGAAGAAGCCCCGGCUAACUCCGUG
rnacentral:rRNA from 1 species